GAAAUGCUAAUAAAUAGUGUUGAUUAAGUUAACACUUAAUUUUGCAACAGCAAAGUACGUUAAAGAGAAAGAUGUUUCAGUUUUAUAGAUCAUGUACAGCUAAGUGCUUUGCCACAUCUUCGCGUCAAUUCACGCAAGAAACAAUGUAAUGCUUGGAGAUUUAUCUAAAGUAAACAAAAUGAAGAUCGACAUAUAAACAAAGAUAUUUGUAAAGUUUCAUUAAUAAAGUCGUGUUUUUACGUUAGUUUUAAUCAAAGGCACAAAAGUGUUGGCGUGCACAUGAAUCAUGAAAAUACGAGCAAAAACGUUUGUUCAUUCUUAUUUAUAAAUUUAGGUUUCCUUUGAUUAUAUUUUAAAGUAAAUUUUCUUCGAUAUGGUAUUGAUGGUUAGCAUGAAGUUAUAGCACCUUGAAUUUUACAUCCUAAAACAAGUGCUAUCUCAGAGUAAUAAUGAACAAAUUAACUCUUUAUAAACUAUCUUCUCUUAUUCCUUUAAAAUUUGUGGUCCAAUUAUGGUCCAAUUUUGAAGAGCGGCAAGAACUUUAGAAUGCACGAGUAAACUUUGUUCGUAAUACAUUUACUUUAUGUAAACUGUAAAAGAUAUUUAUAGGUAUAUUAUAAAUGAAUAUUCAUAAUGAA